rnacentral:rRNA from 1 species
CCUACGGGUGGCUGCAGUGGGGAAUAUUGCACAAUGGGGGAAACCCUGAUGCAGCAACGCCGCGUGAGUGAAGAAGGAUCUCGGUACGUAAAGCCCUAUCAUCAGAGAAGAAAAUGACGGUACCUGACUAAUAAGCCCCGGCUAACUCCGUGCCAGCAGCCGCGGUAAUACGUAGGGGGCAAGCGUUAGCCGGAUUUACUGGGUGUAAAGAGUGCGUAGACGGCAGUGCAAGUCUGGAGUGAAAUCCCGGGGCUUAACCACGGAACUGCGUUGGAAACUGUGCGGCGGGAGUGCGGGAGGGGUAGGCGGAAUUCUUAGUGUAGGGGUGAAAGGCGUAGAUAUUAGGAGGAACACUGGUGGCGAAGGCGGCCUACUGGAAUGUAACUGACGCUGAGGCUCGAAAGCGUGGGGAGCAAACAGGAUUAGAUACCCCGGUAGUC